rnacentral:rRNA from 1 species
UCGAAUAAACUUGAACAGGCUGUUUUUGCUGGCCCCUCCGAAAAGGGGGGUACGUGCACGCUUGUCAUCUUUAUCUCUCCAACUGUGCACAUAUUGUAGACCCUGGGAGGUGUUUUUGAAUUUGUUUUUCGAGUUGGGAACUGCUGUGCAAAGCUCAGCUUUCCCUUGCAUCAUUUCCAGGUCUAUGUCCUUUUUCACAAACCUAUGAAUCUGUUUAGAAUGUUAUACAAAGUUAAAUAUACAACUUUCAGCAACGGAUCUCUUGGCUCUCGCAUCGAUGAAGAACGCAGCGAAAUGCGAUAAGUAAUGUGAAUUGCAGAAUUCAGUGAAUCAUCGAAUCUUUGAACGCAUCUUGCGCUCCUUGGUAUUCCGAGGAGCAUGCCUGUUUGAGUGUCAUUCAAGUUCUCAAACCAUGUUGAUUGUUUUUCGAUGUGGUUUGGAUGUGGGGGUGUGCAGGCCUUUUUGAAGGGUCAGCUCCUCUGAAAUGCAUUAGUGGUAUCCAAGCAGAUAAACUACCACAGGUGUGAUAAAAUGUAUCUAUGCCUUGGUGAGCUGCAUGAAUGGAUUGCACUGCUUAUAACAAGUGGUUGACCAUCCACGCUU